UGGGGAAUUUUGGACAAUGGGCGAAAGCCUGAUCCAGCAAUGCCGCGUGUGUGAAGAAGGCCUUCGGGUUGUAAAGCACUUUUGUCCGGAAAGAAAUCCUUGGCUCUAAUACAGUCGGGGGAUGACGGUACCGGAAGAAUAAGCACCGGCUAACUACGUGCCAGCAGCCGCGGUAAUACGUAGGGUGCAAGCGUUAAUCGGAAUUACUGGGCGUAAAGCGUGCGCAGGCGGUUUGCUAAGACCGAUGUGAAAUCCCCGGGCUCAACCUGGGAACUGCAUUGGUGACUGGCAGGCUAGAGUAUGGCAGAGGGGGGUAGAAUUCCACGUGUAGCAGUGAAAUGCGUAGAGAUGCGGAGGAAUACCGAUGGCGAAGGCAGCCCCCUGGGCCAAUACUGACGCUCAUGCACGAAAGCGUGGGGAGCAAACAGGAUUAGAUACCCUGGUAGUCCACGCCCUAAACGAUGUCAACUAGUUGUUGGGGAUUCAUUUCCUUAGUAACGUAGCUAACGCGUGAAGUUGACCGCCUGGGGAGUACGGUCGCAAGAUUAAAACUUAAAUGAAUUGACGGGGUCAUAGCUGUUUCCU
rnacentral:rRNA from 1 species